rnacentral:rRNA from 1 species
UACGUAGGGACCGAGCGUUGUUCGGAUUCAUUGGGCGUAAAGGGUGCGUAGGCGGCGGGGAAAGUCUGAUGUGAAAUCCUGGGGCUCAACCCUGGAACUGCAUUGGAUACUUCCUUGCUAGAGUACUGGAGAGGAAACUGGAAUUUACGGUGUAGCAGUGAAAUGCGUAGAGAUCGUAAGGAAGACCAGUGGCGAAGGCGAGUUUCUGGACAGUUACUGACGCUGAGGCACGAAGGCCAGGGGAGCAAACGGG